rnacentral:rRNA from 1 species
GAUGAACGCUAGCUACAGGCUUAACACAUGCAAGUCGAGGGGCAUCAGGAAGAAAGCUUGCUUUCUUUGCUGGCGACCGGCGCACGGGUGAGUAACACGUAUCCAACCUGCCCUUUACUCGGGGAUAGCCUUUCGAAAGAAAGAUUAAUACCCGAUAGCAUAAUGAUUCCGCAUGGUUUCAUUAUUAAAGGAUUCCGGUAAAGGAUGGGGAUGCGUUCCAUUAGGUUGUUGGUGAGGUAACGGCUCACCAAGCCUUCGAUGGAUAGGGGUUCUGAGAGGAAGGUCCCCCACAUUGGAACUGAGACACGGUCCAAACUCCUACGGGAGGCAGCAGUGAGGAAGAUUGGUCGAUGGGCGUUAGCCUGAACCAGCCAAGUAGCGUGAAGGAUGAAGGCUCUAUGGGUCGUAAACUUCUUUUAUAUAAGAAUAAAGUGCAGUAUGUAUACUGUUUUGUAUGUAUUAUAUGAAUAAGGAUCGGCUAACUCCGUGCCAGCCGCCGCCGUAA